GUUUUGAAUAUAAUUUAAAUGAAGAAGAACUAAUAUACUGUACCGAUCACCAAAUUGUCUUUGAUCGGACAUUUUCAGCCUUACCAUUCGAUCACCCGAUGGUACCCGUUAACCGUAAUUCAUAUGCAGCUUCCGCUGCUCCCAUCGUCUGGGAUAAUUCAGAAAAUUUUGGCAAUUUGUUAGCCUCUAGCAUAAUCCUAAAAACGAUAAACUUUUCCUAAAACUAUUACAUGUCUUAUACUUUCAAUUUAAACAAAUAUAAAUAAAAAAAUUUAGCUUUUGCUUUCAGAUAUGCGUCAAUUUUUUGACGAGUAACGGCCCGAAAAUGGAUAUUGGAGAGUUUGAAAAUAUUUCAGAAAUAAUUUCAUUCCGACUUCGAUUGUCACAAAUGACCUGGAAAGAAAAUAUAGGUUUAUAACUCGUGUUUUCACACCUUCAUUUCCGGACCUGUCGCACAUAUUAACUUAAAAAAAAAUCUUCAACUGAAAAUAUAGAUAGAUGCAAGCGCAGAGCGCGUAUCUAUCGACGUCAAUGUGGUUGGGAACCCCUUAUCCGAAAGGGGCUAAUAACUAUGGCACGCCGAAAGGGAAAAAAAAAGUUCCUUGCUUCAUCAUCUAGCGGUUAGAUUUACAACUACACGCAAAAAUUUCCCAUUUCUUACUCCAAAACACGGAAAUUUUCCCCGCUUCCCGUUCCGUCGAGCCGUGAUUUAUCGCUAACUGCAGUUGAAAAUUGCGGUCGAAAUUGGGCUAAAUAACUUACGAUUAGGCUACUGGAACUCAAAUAGGAAACGAACC